rnacentral:rRNA from 41 species
UUGACCUCGGAUCAGGUAGGAAUACCCGCUGAACUUAAG